rnacentral:rRNA from 1 species
GAUGAACGCUAGCUACAGGCUUAACACAUGCAAGUCGAGGGGUAACGAGAGGAAAGCUUGCUUUCCUUGUCGACGACCGGCGCACGGGUGAGUAACGCGUAUCCAACCUGCCCCCAACUAGGGAAUAACCUUGCGAAAGUAAGACUAAUACCCUAUAAUUUCCUCAGAUGUCAUCUGACGAGGAAUAAAGAUUUAUCGGUUGUGGAUGGGGAUGCGUCUGAUUAGCUUGUUGGCGGGGUAACGGCCCACCAAGGCAACGAUCAGUAGGGGUUAUGAGAGGAAGGUCCCCCACAUUGGAACGGAGACACGGUCCAAACUCCUACGGGAGGCAGCAGUGAGGAAUAUUGGUCAAUGGGCGGAAGCCUGAACCAGACAAGUAGCGUACAGGAUGACGGCCCUAUGGGUUGUAAACUGCUUUUAUACAGGAAUAAAGUUAGCCACGUGUGGUUAUUUGUAGGUACUGUAUGAAUAAGGACCGGCUAAUCCCGUGCCAGCCGCCGCAGUAA